CGAGUGUGGAGUUCUUCAGCUCCUUGGGUGUUAAGCAGCGGUGGUAACAGCAGCAGAUGGAGCCUGGUGGCUGAGGAAGUGAUUGGCAUUCGAGAUUACCAGGCAGAAGUACAAGUACAUGAAGAUCUACAAACUGCAUGACUGCUGAAGGACACAUGAUUGCAAUGGCCAGAAUCCAGAUGACUGUUAUAAUGAUGAUAGCGGUUGAGGUGGUCAACUUCUGCUUAAAUGGAUAAACGAUGCAUCGAAACCUGCAGCAAAGGCAUCCAGGAAUGUAUGUGGAGAAGCCAUUUAGAGAAUGCUUAGAGAGGUGGCAUAAGGGAGAUGAAAGUGACAGUUCAUCUCCACAUCAUCUUACCUGUCUACAGCAAUUGCAACCAGAGUGAAGAUGGAAGCAGAGACAGAGAUUCCUUGGACCAUCCCACUCAUCUUGCAAACCAUGCUCCCAAAUGGCCAUCCUGGAAGGAAACAGAACAAUAUAGCAGACUACUCCGUUGCCAACCAUACAGAGCAGGAAGAUGAGGAGGUAAGAGACAAUGAAGACAGCUGCCACUGAAGGCUGAUGAUGGUAGAAGUCCACGUAAGAGACAUUGCCUUCUAAGUAGAGGUGGAGCUUUUAAGACAGGCGUUCCAGACUAGGGAAGAUUGCAUUUACUUUGCACUCUGUUGUUCAUGAUCCAUGCUGUCGCAAUGAAACCCUGCAGAUAAGACAGGUGCACUGUGUCCAUAAAGAUGAGAUGGCAUAUAGCACUAGUGACAAGAAAACACCAGCAGUUUUAGUGGCAAGCUCCUGAAGCAGAUUGUGAUAUUGCUGUUGCAUGGCAUGUGGCUGUAGGAAUAUUCACAUGGUAUCCAGUGAAGAUAAUUAUCCUCUCUUCUCUACGUACUAGAGCAAGUAUUCCCAAAAGGUAUCCUGCCCAGGAAGAGCAUGAACCCAGAAACUCGAGAGUUUCAGCAUUUAACUUCAUUGCCUUGCUGUGACACUGCAUUGGAUAGACUCGAAAACUGGAUUUUGGCUAUGG